rnacentral:rRNA from 1 species
UACGAAGGGGGCGAGCGUUGUUCGGAUUUACUGGGCGUAAAGGGCUCGUAGGCGGCCAACUAAGUCGGACGUGAAAUCCCUCGGCUUAACCGGGGAACUGCGUCCGAUACUGGAUGGCUUGAGUUCGGGAGAGGGAUGCGGAAUUCCAGGUGUAGCGGUGAAAUGCGUAGAGAUCGGGAGGAACACCAGUGGCGAAGGCGGCUACCUGGACCAGCACUGACACUGAGGCACGAAAGCGUGGGGAGCAAACAGG